UACGUAGGGGGCAAGCGUUGUCCGGAUUUAUUGGGCGUAAGGAGCGUGUAGGCGGCUUUACAGGUCCGUUGUGAAAACUCGAGGCUCAACCUCGAGACGCCGGUGGAAACCGUAAAGCUAGAGUCCGGAAGAGGAGAGUGGAAUUCCUGGUGUAGCGGUGAAAUGCGCAGAUAUCAGGAGGAACACCAAUGGCGAAGGCAGCUCGCUGGAACGGUACUGACGCUGAGGCGCGAAAGCGUGGGGAGCGAACAGG
rnacentral:rRNA from 1 species